AUUGAACGCUGGCGGUAUGCUUAACACAUGCAAGUCGAACGGUAACAGGCCUUCGGGCGCUGACGAGUGGCGGACGGGUGAGUAACGCGUAGGAAUCUGCCUGUUAGUGGGGGACAACGUGGGGAAACCCACGCUAAUACCGCAUACGCCCUACGGGGGAAAGGAGGGGAUCUUCGGACCUUUCGCUAACAGAUGAGCCUGCGUUAGAUUAGCUAGUUGGUAGGGUAAAGGCCUACCAAGGCGACGAUCUAUAGCUGGUCUGAGAGGACGAUCAGCCACACUGGGACUGAGACACGGCCCAGACUCCUACGGGAGGCAGCAGUGGGGAAUAUUGGACAAUGGGCGAAAGCCUGAUCCAGCAAUACCGCGUGUGUGAAGAAGGCCUUAGGGUUGUAAAGCACUUUCAAUUGGGAGGAAAACCUAUCGAUCAAUACCCGAUAGCUUGACAUUACCUUUAGAAGAAGCACCGGCUAACUCCGUGCCAGCAGCCGCGGUAAUACGGAGGGUGCGAGCGUUAAUCGGAAUUACUGGGCGUAAAGCGUGCGUAGGCGGUUCGUUAAGUCAGAUGUGAAAGCCCUGGGCUCAACCUGGGAACUGCAUUUGAAACUGGCGGACUAGAGUUUAGUAGAGGGGAGUGGAAUUUCAGGUGUAGCGGUGAAAUGCGUAGAUAUCUGAAGGAACGCCAGUGGCGAAGGCGACUCCCUGGACUAGAACUGACGCUGAGGUACGAAAGCGUGGGUAGCAAACAGGAUUAGAUACCCUGGUAGUCCACGCCGUAAACGAUGUCGUCUAGCCGUUGGCCCUAUUUACAGGGUUAGUGGCGCAGCU
rnacentral:rRNA from 1 species